rnacentral:rRNA from 1 species
GAUGAACGCUGACAGAAUGCUUAACACAUGCAAGUCUUUGGCGAAGCUGUGCUUGCACAGCCUAGCCAAGGCGGACGGGUGAGUAACGCGUAAGGAACUUGCCCUGCAGUCAGGGAUAACAGACGGAAACGACUGAUAAGACCUGGUAAAGUCAGGCGGACUCAUGUCCAGCCUGAUGAAAAGAGAUGCUGCAGGAGAGCCUUGCGUCCUAUUAGCUUGUUGGUGGGGUAACGGCCCACCAAGGCGAUGAUAGGUAGCCGGCCUGAGAGGGUGGACGGCCACAAGGGGACUGAGAUACGGCCCUUACUCCUACGGGAGGCAGCAGUGGGGAAUAUUGGACAAUGGGGGCAACCCUGAUCCAGCCAUUCUGUGUGCACGAUGAAGGUUUUCGGAUUGUAAAGUGCUUUCAGCAGGGAAGAAAAAAAUGACGGUACCUGCAGAAGAAGCGACGGCUAAAUACGUG